rnacentral:rRNA from 1 species
GACGAACGCUGGCGGCGUGCCUAAUACAUGCAAGUAGAACGCUGAAGAGAGGAGCUUGCUCUUCUUGGAUGAGUUGCGAACGGGUGAGUAACGCGUAGGUAACCUGCCUUGUAGCGGGGGAUAACUAUUGGAAACGAUAGCUAAUACCGCAUAACAAUGGAUGACACAUGUCAUUUAUUUGAAAGGGGCAAUUGCUCCACUACAAGAUGGACCUGCGUUGUAUUAGCUAGUAGGUGAGGUAAUGGCUCACCUAGGCGACGAUACAUAGCCGACCUGAGAGGGUGAUAGGCCACACUGGGACUGAGACACGGCCCAGAACCCUGCGGGAGGCAGCAGGAGGGAAGUUUCGGCAAUGGGGGCAACCCUGACCGAGCAACGCCGCGUGAGGGAAGAAGGGUGUCGGAUCGUAAAGCUCUGUUGUAAGUCAAGAACGGGUGUGAGAGUGGAAAGUUCACACUGUGACGGUAGCUUAACAGAAAGGGACGGCUAACUACGUG